rnacentral:sRNA from 1 species
UGGUCAGGGUCAGUACUAGACUGCAGGACCCCUGACUCAGACCAAGGCGUUCCCCACUGUGUGUUACAGGGACCGGCAGAAGCUGAAGGGUCUCAGAGGAGGAGGCUGCUGGUUCCAGCAAAUGGUGCUGACCCCACUGAGACUCUGAUGCUGUUCUUUGACAAGUUUGCAAACAUCGUGCCCUUUGACUCCUGGGACCAGCUCAUGAGGCAGCUGGACCUCACGAAAAAUGAGAUCGAUGUGGUCAGAGCUGGUACAGCAGGCCCAGGGGAUGCCUUGUAUGCAAUGCUGAUGAAAUGGGUCAACAAAACUGGACGGAACGCCUCGAUCCACACCCUGCUG